rnacentral:lncRNA from 1 species
GGAACAGCAAGCUACAACGGGCUCCCAAAAAUGACUAGUGUAAAACCAUUUAAACGGGAAAGCCAACGGUCUAAUCUAUAUAAAAACGAGACUGGUUCCUGACUUAGGACAGGUGCAGCCAAAUGCAGUGGGUUUAAAUGUUUUAAUAGGUACCGACCUUCACCCUUAUCUUAAAACAAUAGUAAAACAUCACAACAUAGAAAGAUACAAUAUAAAAUAUCAAUUGAAAUGGCUUAACUUAAUCAAAAGACAUAUAAACACAAUUGAACAUACACAAAUAAAUUUGAUCUAUGACACAAUGUAAAUACAAAAUCAAUAAAAU